rnacentral:rRNA from 1 species
CUACGGGUUGCUGCAGUGAGGAAUAUUGGGCAAUGCCCGCAAGGGUGACCCAGCAACGCCGCGUGGAGGAUGAAUGCCGUAAGGUUGUAAACUCCUGUUAGAGGGGACGAAUGAUUCCGAUUGUAUCGGAAGUUGACUGUACCCUCAGAGAAAGCCCCGGCUAACUACGUGCCAGCAGCCGCGGUAAUACGUAGGGGGCAAGCGUUGUCCGGAUUUACUGGGUGUAAAGGGCGCGCAGGUGGGCUUGAUAGUUAGAGGUGAAAUCCUGUGGCUUAACUGCAGAACUGCCUUUAAUACUUCAAGUCUUGAGUGCGGAAGAGAGAGACGGAAUUCCAGGUGUAGUAGUGAAAUACGUAGAUAUCUGGAAGAACACCAGUUGCGAAGGCGGUCUCUUGGUCCGUAACUGACACUUAGGCGCGAAAGCGUGGGGAGCAAACAGGAUUAGAUACCCUUGUAGUC